UACGAAGGGUGCAAGCGUUAAUCGGAAUUACUGGGCGUAAAGGGUGCGUAGGCGGUUCGUUAAGUCUGUCGUGAAAUCCCCGGGCUCAACCUGGGAAUGGCGAUGGAUACUGGCGAGCUAGAGUGUGUCAGAGGAUGGUGGAAUUCCCGGUGUAGCGGUGAAAUGCGUAGAGAUCGGCAGGAACACCCAGGGGGAAACCAGUCGACUGGGCAUCUACUGACGCUGAGGUGCGAGAGCGUGGGGAGCGAACCGG
rnacentral:rRNA from 1 species